UUUUGUGAGUACUGUUUUUCAACUCGCUGAUAUUUUUACCAAACCUUUUCAUGAAGAAAGAUUUUAUUCACUUACAAAUGAUAAGAAUCGAGUUACGUUAUAUGUUAAUAAACAAUAAAAUAAUUCGGAAGCAAAAUCCCUAAGAUUAAAGACAAGAAAUUAAAGAUAGAUAAAAUUUGAGAAUAAAUCUCCAAUUUCGAGAUAAGUGCUAAGAACCCUAAUUGAUCUUGGUAUUCAAAUUUAGUGGAUUAAGACUAAUUAUGAUACUAAUAGAGUCAAUUCAAGAACUUAGAUCCAAAGGUGAUCUAGAUCCCUAUUUCGAAGAAAUUAAAGACAACAAUUAUUAGUAUAAGACUAAUCACCUUCUUUAAUUAACUUUAAUAGAAACCAAAGAUAUCAAGUUAAGAAUUAAUCUUACCUCCUAAAGAAUUGCUCUUAUAAGGUUUCAAGAUAAAUCCCAAGUAGCCACACACAAAGGUGUAAAUAAGAGAAACUCUUAAUUAAUAAUAAUAUUGUCUGAUUGAAAAUAACAAAAUCCUUCCAUAUAUAUAGGGAAAAAACCUAUCCCAAAUAGCAUGAGAUUCGAAUUCUACUUUUAUGGAAAUAAAUAAAUUUAGGAAACUUUAAACUAGAAAACUUUUAAAUUAGGAAACUUUAAAUUAGGAAAGCAAAAGUUUCUGAAUUCAAUCAAAAUUCAUAUGGGCCCAAUCUUCUUCCUUUUGGACUUAGACUUGAAUCAUGAAAUAUGUGUAGCACUUUGCCCAUUCUUCUCCAUGAUUCUUGGACUCUUCUUUCAUAAUAAAUAUCUUCUUGAUUCACAUUGAAGCUCGUCAAUCUUAAUGCAAGUAGGUCAGCCUAGAUGCAAUCAUUCCCCUCUUCUUGAAAAUAAUUCAUCCUUGAAUUUGAAUCUCACAAAAUUAAGAAGACAUACAAUAAUAAAUAACAUCUAUUACUUGAAAACAACAAUGGCAAGAACAAAACAAGAUAGUGACCAUGUGUCCACUUAACCCAGUUAAUCCUUACAUGUAUAAAUACACCUUUAUAAAGCAUGUGGACAUCAUCAUCCCAACAGAAAAUUCUCUUUCUUGUACGAGCACAACAAUAUUCACGUUUAUAUGACGUAGGGAAUGAUAUGUGCCUCCUUAAUUUAGCUCUAUCAAUAAAGUACUCCACUGGGCUUGUUAAAUACGUCAUAAGCUCCAUAAAAUAUGUAUUAAAUUUAACACUUUUAUGAUAUAGCCAAGCAUCAUCAAUUACACUUCUCAAAGAUUUUUUCCCAGGGUUGGAGAUUUGACCCAGUUGUCUUCGUGAGGCUCAUAGUUCUGGAUACUUUAUUCAUCUCGGGACAGCUAAGAUGUAUAGGAAUUUGAAGCAGCAUUACUAGUGGAGUGGUAUGCGGAGAGAUAUAGCAAGGUUUGUGGCACGAUGUCUUUGUUGUCAGCAAGUAAAGGCCAAGCAUCAGAGACCUGGUGGAUUACUUCAGCAGCUACCCAUUCCCGAGUGGAAAUGGGAGCGAGUUACUAUGGAUUUCGUAGGUGGAUUGCCUCGCACUUCGCAUGGUUUUGAUAGCAUUUGGGUCAUCGUGGAUCGAUUGACCAAGUCCGGCCCGCACAUUUUAUCCCCAUUCGAGUUUCCUACAGUGUCGAGAGGUUAGCCCGUGUUUACAUUCAGGAGGUGGUUCGCCUAUGUGGGGUCCCUGUGUCUAUUAUUUUCGAUCGAGGCUCUCAGUUCACUUCUAGCUUUUGGAGGACAUUUCAGGAGGAGUUGGGAACCCAGGUUGACCUUAGCACAGCCUUUCAUCCCCAGACUGAUGGGUAGUCAAAGCGGACUAUCCAGGUUCUAGAGGAUAUGCUCCGCGCUUGUGUUUGAAUUUUGGAGGACAGUGGGACCAGUUUCUACCUUUGGCAGAGUUUGCAUAUAAUAACAACUUUCACUCGAGUAUUCAGAUGGCCCCAUUUGAAGCAUUAUAUGGUAGGCGAUGUCGAUCUCCUAUUGGUUGGUUUGACCUCUAAGGCUAGGCCUCGUGGCACAGAUUUUCUUCGUGAUUUGUUGAAUCGGGUUCGAGUGAUUCAGGAGCAGCCUAGAGUAGGCGGAAGAGUUAUGCUGAUCGGAGACAUCUAUUGAGGUUUAGAGUUGGUGAUAUGGUCUUCCUGCGAGUAUCUCCCAUAAAGGGCAUGAUGAGGUUCGGGAGGAGGGGCAAGCUUAGCCCUAGAUAUAUUGAACCUUUUGAGAUCCUACAGACAGUUGGGGAGGUAGUUUAUGUGUUGGCAUUGCCACCUUCCUUCUCAGUCAUUCACCCGGUGUUUCAUGUAUCUAUGUUGCGGCAGUAUAUUCCAGAUGAGUCGCACGUACUUCAGUGAGACACGGUUCAAUUGGACGAGAAGUUGGCGUUUGUAGAGGAGCCAACAUCUAUUUUGGCGAGGAAUGUCAAGCGAUUGCGCUCCAAAGACAUUCCGGUAGUUAAGGUUCAGUGGCGUCACCGCCCAGUUGAGGAGGCUACCUGGGAGAUCGAGCGUGAUAUGCGCGCCCAGUAUCCCUACCUAUUUGAGCCUUCAGGUAUGGCCUUAUCUUUUACUUUUACGGACGAAAUUUCUUUUAGUAGUGGAUGUUGUAAUGACCCUUACGGUCAUUUUCCUGUAUUUUCAUAUAAUUUUAGUAAUAUCUAAAUGUAUCAUGGAUUAUUUAAUUUAAUUUGGCAUUGGUAGAAAUAUAAUUUAGUACCCUUGUAGAAUAUUUUUGAUAUUGGUAAAAUUCUCUAUUAGAUGAUAUAUUCAUAUCACUUUAUAAUAGACUUUUAUGAUUUAUUAAUAUUUUAAGCGGAGAUAGUAAUUUUAGAAAUGUUAAAAUAUUAUUAUUAUAUAAUAGAGGUUUUGUUAGAAAUAAUUUUCUAUUAAUUAUGAUAUAUUCAAAAUAUUAUAAUUAUUUUAUCACGAAUUUAUACAAUACUCGAAUAUAUACGCAGUGUAGAAAAUUAAUUGGUGUGGCCACCAUAGCACACGUGGAAUGGAAAGGGUGGACCACAUGCUGCCACUUGUCUUCAAACCUUAGGCCUAAUCUUACUUAUAUAUGGUACACUUGAAUAUUAAAAGUGGAAAAAAAAAGGAAAAGUGAACUUUCAUCCACUGAUUGUAUACAUAUACACGUCCAUAUCUGUAUUUUCCCAUAUAUUUGGCCUUUCUCGAUUUGCUUUUUCUUUUUUUUAAUAAAAUUGCUUAGAGUUCUUGGUUAGCUCUACAAAGUUGCAUAUAAGUUAAGAGGAGUGGUGGAAAACAAUUUCUUUGAUGUCAUUCAAAUUCGGGUUAUAGCGAGAUAUUAUUUGGAGGCUUCGCGGAAAGAUAUUAUAGCUUUGGCGUCCAGGUAGGCUAGGUUUACCCUAUCUUUAGAUUGAGCUUAUUUACCAAAAUUGUAAACUAUUAUGCUAGCUCUAGAUAAGUGCUUAUAGUUGUGCAACAUUUGAUAUCUAACAUGCCCUAUUUAUCCGGAUUAGGACCCCGUUCUAGUAAAUAUUGGAAUAUUAUCUUUUAAUAUAAUAUAGCACGUGAAACUAAAUUGCAAAAUCUUGAAUUUAUCCCUUUUUAAUUAAGAAUGACGGAUGAUUAUUUGGAUGUUGACAUUGUUAUGGUAUGGUAUGGAUUUUAAUAUUACCUCGAGUCCGGCAUUUGAUUAUUAUUGUUACUAUGAGUUCCGGUUCGAGUCCGACAUUUGAUUAUUAUUGUUACCAUGAGUUCCGGUCCAGCAUCUGAUUAUGGUUGUGGUUCCUCUGAGUUCCAGUUCAAGUCCGGCAUCUGAUUAUAAGUUCUAUAUAUGUGGCCUAUCGUUAUUACUCACUAUGUCCGGUUCGAGUCCGGCACAUGUCCUCUUGUUAUUAUCAAUUACUAACGGUUCGAGUUCAGUGUCUGGCCUCUCGUUACUCCCCAUUGGUGCUGGUUCAAGUCUGGUGCACACUUGGAUGGCUAUCAUGAUUUAUUGGGAUCAGCCCAGUUAUAGAUUAUUUAUGUUUAUUUUCAUUACUUGUGUGUCCCAUCGGCUUAUGGGGGUACGAUUGGGUUAAUUGUCUUCUUCAGUGUGCCUAGCGGGCUUAUGGGGGGCCAGCUAGGUUAUGUUUGACUUGUCUGUCAUUACUGCAUUAUUUAUUUUCUGUAUUGCUUACAUUUAUUCCUUUAUCUCAUUGGCGUAGUUUGACAGUUGUUUACCCUUUUUGUCCCUUUUCUAUUGACUUGGAUUACAUCCUCCCAUUGUAGUUAUACCUUUUCUGUAUUGAGCUCAGUCAGCCCAUGAUGCCUACUGAGCACCCAUUGCUUUGGUACUCAUACUACACUUCUGCAUUUUUUUCCUGAUGCAGAUCUAGGUACUAGCAGUCAACGUUGACGUGAUUCCUAUCUUUCAGUACUGGUUUGGAGCAGGGUGAGCUUACUUUCGUCCGAGGCUGAUCCUCUUUUAUCUACUCUAGUUAAUUUUUUGCACUCGAGACUGCUUGUGUAUAUUGUGUACAUUUUAGAUUUUUGUCCAGUACUUUGGGUACCUGUUAGUAGUGGCUCUAGUACUGACCUUAUCAGGUCUUGGGAGAGAUUCAUUUGUAUAGUUGGUCCUUUUUCCUCCCCUCGUUUUGAUAUAAUAUAUAUGCUCCCUUCUUAGUUUUCACUUAUUAUUGUUGUUGUUACCAUUAUACGUGAUAUUUUAUUUGGUCUCUGCCUGUUAACCUGUUACCUAUCAUUCCGGACUAUGGCUUGCCUUGCCUACUGGUGGGUUAAAGUAGGCGCCAUCACGACUUUAGAAAUCGGGUCGUAACAAUAGAAUUAAAUGAAAUUCGGGAUUUAAGACCCAUAGGUUAUGGGUAAUUCAAUUUUGGAAUAAAUUUCCAACUGACGUUACGGGCUCGAGGUUGACUUUUUCAUUGACUUUUUGACCAAUUAAUUUUGGGUCAAUAUGGAUACCAAUGAACUCAUAUACUUGUAAGAACUCAUAUUUAAACAUUUUGGGAGUGCUCGGAGGCUCUAUGGAAGGGGAAAGCUAUUUUGUGAUUUCAGUGCUUUGAAUCAAGAUAAAUUAAGACUUUCUAGACUCCGAUUGAGAGAUGUUUCCGUAAUUUAUGAUAGUAAGGACUAGGGAGAUGACAAGCACCUAUGAGAGUACCAGGUGACAUGUAUGACGAGUGCUUAUGCGGGUACGGGUACUUAGCCCUUUCAUUAGCCUAUAUAUGUGAUUAUUUGGCACUGCCCAAGUUUAUUUGAGAAUUCUAUGACUGAUGCGAAAAAUGAUCAUCCUAAUUAAUUGAUCAUUUAUUGAUACAUCACAAGAAUAUCUCAUACACUAGUGAUAAUUGAAGAUUGUCUAGAUGUAUUUUUCUAUAGUUAUGGUUAGAUCAGGUGCACGCUUGCAUAGUAUUAUUGUUGGAUCAGGUUGCGCUCCUGCAACGGGUGUAUGGACUUCACCAGUCCCCAUGUGUCAUGGCUCCCGGAAAUCCCUGUUGGAGUACGUGUGUGUACUGGUUGCAUACAUGACCAUUGCAUUGCAUAUUCCAUUCUUUAUUUGACUUGCUGAAUCUGAAUGAGUAAACUGAUACCUGUUUAUUUCAGAGAUCCUAUUUGACUGAUUUAUAGCAUUUCUCUCUUAUUACUCUAAUUAAUUAUCUAUGAAGAUUUAUUUCUGUUUAAGGCUAAUGCAAGUGUUUCCAGCAACCAAAUCUCAUCACUACUUCGACGAUAUCGAUCGAUGAUACUGGGUACGCGUUGUUUUGUACUUAUACUACACUUGUUGCACUCCAUUUCGGGUGCAGGUCUAAAUUUGAGCGCUAGUGGAGUUCACGGAGCAGUUUGAGUCUAUAGUUGUUCAAGCGGAGGUUUUCGCCCUGGCUAAUCCGCAGCACCGUGCUUCCUCUUUAUCAUUUUCUUUCUAUGUUUGUUAUUUCUAGAGAACUGUACCAACUUACUUCAACUUAUAUACUCUUAGAGGCUCUUGUACUUGGACUCCAGGUUUUGGGGUGUAUUUUGUUACUUACACAUUUUUAGGAUUAUGAAGUUAUAGUUAUGACUAAAUUAUGUCUUUUCGCUUUUACUUUCCGCUUAUUUGUUCAAAAUGGACUAAAAUUGUAAUAGGAUUCGCCUAAAGGUUUAGGUGUAGUAGGUGCCUUCACGGUUAUUCGAUUUUUCGGUGACAGGUUUUUGCGCACUAAGGUCUUCCGUUAUCUUAAAUUUUCUUUUGUAUUCUACUUCAGAUCAAGCAAAGAGUGGAGGUGGGUAAAUAUUUGGAAAAAGAGAUCACUAAAUUAAUAUCCUUUCUCAUACUUUCCCACUUCCACUCAGUUAUUAACAUACGAAAGUUUCGCAAUUCAUUAACAUAACAAACUAAGAAACCAGCCAGAAAUGAAUCAUCACAAACAAAAUAAUCAUCUACAGUCCUUACAAUAAAAAAAGGCUGGAACACUGCUCGACUUUACAGAACCAGAAGAAGCACUCAAUGACAAAAGGCCACUUCUCGUUAAUUAUAUACUUAUAUUCUUCACUAAGUUAGUAUAAUUGAAAACAAAAAAGGGGAUAAACGAACACAUGACAGUCUUUGAAGGGGCAGGAAAUGAUUAUUAAUAGAAGAGGGUCAGUAAUUUCUCACGUGUUACUCCGUUAAUUUCUUGGUGCACCAUGAAGUUGACUAGGUGUUAUUUUAUAGAGAACCAUACUUUUGUGCAGACUUCCUAUUUUUGUAUAUUAUUUGUUCUUUAAAUUCUUUUUCAUUUGAUGAACAAGCUUAUAGCAAAUAUUUUCUCACCACACUAACAAAGCUAGUACAUUCACAGAAAGAGGAAUAAACGAACACAAUUUAUACAACUAUUAACAAAAACACAAUUAUCAUUAUGACUCGGUAAUAUGUCACAAACACUAAAGCCUUUGACAAGGAAUUGAAACAAGAUCUCACCCUGCAAGUGAACUGAGAAGAAAGGAAGCAAUGACGCACCAUCCAGUGACAGUUGAAGCAGUAACAGUGGCGUAAUCAAAGAAAUAGACAAGAAUCAUUCGAGAAACACAAGUUCCUACAAGAAUUUCCAAGAACAUUCCUAACGUCAAAUAGUAUAUGCAUUGAAGACACCCAAUUUGCUUAACGAUUAGCCAUGGAUCCCACACCGCUGAACCAUAGAACAUGUCUGUUGCUGUAUUUUUCCCCACCAACACACAACCAACAAGUUUUCCCUCAAAUCCACAAGAAGUAUGUCUUAGAACUGAACUUCAAAACAUACCAAAAGCACAAUCUUUGAUGACUGUUGCUUGUUCCUUCCUCACAAACAAACACCCAACUCUCAAUUCCCUCGAGACCCACAAAAGUACUCUUUGAUCGGAACCAAAAUUCAAUUUCAAAAUACACCAAAGACCAAUCUUCCGCACAAACAAUAAACCAACUUCCAAUUUCCUCAAAACCCAGCAAAAUACUCUUUAAUCUGAAUAAAAAUCCAAGCUCAAGACAAACCAAAAUAGAAAUUUUGAUUACUAUCGCUGAGUUUUCGCACACAAAAAAAGAAUCAGUUUCUCCAACUCCCUCAAAUGCCACCAAAUUACUCUCUGAUCUGAAUCAAAAUUCAACCUCAAAAUACACACAAAUACAAUCUUUGAUGUUUCUUCAAAAACAAAGGGCCUACUUUAGCAAUUAUGUCCAAACCCAAGUAUUCUUUAAUUUGAAUUAUAAUUCACCACAAGAAACACACCAAAAUACAAUCUUUGAUUACUCUUGCUGAGUUCUAUCACACAACCAAACAAGAGCAACUAAACCAAAAGAAAAAUACAGAAACAUGACAAUCUCUGAUCUAAACCAAGGUAAAAUAACAUUGAUUGCAACAAUUAAAAAUUGCAAUAAAGUAUAUACGUGAUAUGAAUAAGGAAGGGGAGAUACUAAACCUUAAUUUCGCGAGAAUAUGUGUCAAAGCUGAUCAAAGCAUAUAGCGUAAAAAAUCUGAGAAUCCAACAAAUUCCACUGAGAUUCACUUCCUGAGAUUUAAUUUUGGAGAACAUAUAUUGGUAAAAGAUUGGAGUGAACAAAUGCACGGAAACCAUUCGAGCGAAGUUGAAGUCUUGUUUGGGCAAAAAUUUUAUUUUGCAUUUCAUACGCUACCUCAUAGUUGUUUGAGGUCUACAUAUUUCACAAAUGGGCUUUUGGGGCUCAUCUGGCAGACCAAAUUUUUUUCUAAAAAUUAC
rnacentral:lncRNA from 1 species